rnacentral:rRNA from 1 species
UGGGGAAUAUUGGACAAUGGGCGAAAGCCUGAUCCAGCCAUGCCGCGUGUGUGAAGAAGGUCUUCGGAUUGUAAAGCACUUUAAGUUGGGAGGAAGGGCAUUAACCUAAUACGUUAGUGUUUUGACGUUACCGACAGAAUAAGCACCGGCUAACUCUGUGCCAGCAGCCGCGGUAAUACAGAGGGUGCAAGCGUUAAUCGGAAUUACUGGGCGUAAAGCGCGCGUAGGUGGUUUGUUAAGUUGGAUGUGAAAUCCGCGGGCUAAACCUGGGAACUGCAUUCAAAACUGACUGACUAGAGUAUGGUAGAGGGUGGUGGAAUUUCCUGUGUAGCGGUGAAAUGCGUAGAUAUAGGAAGGAACACCAGGGGCGAAGGCGACCACCUGGACUAAUACUGACACUGAGGUGCGAAAGCGUGGGGAGCAAACA